GAGUUUGAUCCUGGCUCAGAUUGAACGCUAGCGACGUGCUUAACACAUGCAAGUCGUGCGAGAAAGGAGACUUCGGUCCCUGAGUAGAGCGGCGCACGGGUGAGUAACGCGUGGAUGAUCUACCCUUGAGUUCGGGAUAACGGUGCGAAAGCGCCGCUAAUACCGUAUAACAAUCCAUUUCAUCGUGGGUUCAAAGCAGGCCUCUUCAUGAAAGCUUGCGCUUGGGGAUGAGUCCGCGUCCCGUUAGCUUGUUGGCGGGGUAACGGCCCACCAAGGCUACGAUGGGUAGCUGGUCUGAGAGGAUGAUCAGCCACACUGGAACUGAAACACGGUCCAGACUCCUACGGGAGGCAGCAGUGGGGAAUAUUGCGCAAUGGGGGAAACCCUGACGCAGCGACGUCGUGUGAGGGAAGAAGGCCUUCGGGUCGUAAACCUCUGUCAGAAGGGAAGAA
rnacentral:rRNA from 1 species